AAUCUCGCAAGAGAGAUCAAAGUUAUAGGGUCAAGUGACUAAGAGCAUGU
rnacentral:rRNA from 1 species